rnacentral:misc_RNA from 1 species
GGAAGUAAAAGUCAUAACAAGGUUUCCGUAGGUGAACCUGCGGAAGGAUCAUUCAUAAUAAAGUGUUUUAUGGCACUUUUUAAAAAUCCAUAUCCACCUUGUGUGCAAUGUUAGAUCUCGUCAUCUUGGCGAGAUUUUUAUACAUCAACUCAUUCUUUAACUAAUUUGUCUGAAAAAUAUUAUGAAUACUUAAUUCAAAAUACAACUUUCAACAACGGAUCUCUUGGCUCUC